GAUGAGGUGUGCCUAGGGGUGAAAGGCCAAUCAAACUCGGAGAUAGCUGGUUCUCCGCGAAAUCUAUUUAGGUAGAGCGUCAGACGAAUACUCCCGGGGGUAGAGCACUGGGAUGGGGUAAUGGGGACCCACAGUCUUACUGAUCCUAACCAAACUCCGAAUACCGGGAAGUAAUAUCUGGCAGACACACGGCGGGUGCUAAGGUCCGUCGUGAAAAGGGAAACAGC
rnacentral:rRNA from 1 species